CCUACGGGCGGCAGCAGUGGGGAAUAUUGCACAAUGGGCGCAAGCCUGAUGCAGCCAUGCCGCGUGUGUGAAGAAGGCCUUCGGGUUGUAAAGCACUUUCAGCGGGGAGGAAGGCGUUAAGGUUAAUAACCUUGGCGAUUGACGUUACCCGCAGAAGAAGCACCGGCUAACUCCGUGCCAGCAGCCGCGGUAAUACGGAGGGUGCAAGCGUUAAUCGGAAUUACUGGGCGUAAAGCGCACGCAGGCGGUCUGUCAAGUCGGAUGUGAAAUCCCCGGGCUCAACCUGGGAACUGCAUUCGAAACUGGCAGGCUAGAGUCUUGUAGAGGGGGGUAGAAUUCCAGGUGUAGCGGUGAAAUGCGUAGAGAUCUGGAGGAAUACCGGUGGCGAAGGCGGCCCCCUGGACAAAGACUGACGCUGAGGCGCGAAAGCGUGGGGAGCAAACCGGAUUAGAUACCCGGGUAGUC
rnacentral:rRNA from 1 species